rnacentral:tRNA from 1 species
AGGGUUGUAGUUAAUUAUAACACUUGAUUUGCAUUCAAGAGGUAUCUUUGUGGAUCUUCCUUA